GCAGCAACUAAGCAUGAAAAUAUUCAUUUCAUUACAUAAUAAAGCUUAAGCGGCAGCAUAAUUUUCGGCUCGCCUUAGCUUAUCUACUCAAAUAACCGCCUAUCAGCGAAAAUUAAACACCGCAAAUACAGUUAAGCAACUCAAACAAAAGCGGAACGUGAUAUAAGAUUUAAGAAUUUUUAAUAAAUAUAAGUAAAUAAGUAAAUGUAGUGGAAAUAUGUGACCUAAAAAUGGUGUAUAAUGUAAGGGUGUACUACGUCGCUAAAGCAAAAAUAAAACAUAAAAACUAAAUAGUGUGAGACAUCUUAAGGCGGACAAACUAAACCCUACAUAAAGUGUUUUAAAAGUUUCCAGACAAGAACUUGAUUUUGAUCGGUUUUGUUUGUGUGGCAACUAAGUGCUAUAGUGGUACGAUCUGAACAGUUUGUUGGCAGCUUGUAACAUUCUCUUUGCCAAUUAUCUAUGUCAAAUUUCGUGAAGAUAUUUUGUCAAAUGAAAAAGUUUUUCAUACAAAAACUUGAUUGUGUUGGUCAGUUUGUAUGGCAGCUAUAAGCUAUAGUGGUCUCAAAUCGGCGCUUCUGAUAUAUCAGUAACUUUUUGGCGAGCAAAGGAUGUAUGCAAAAUUUCAGAUCGAUAUCUCAAACACUAAGUGACUUGUUUGUGUAUAUAUUAUGCAAACGAAAAGUGUAUGUGUAAACAAAAAUGUUAUAUAAAAUAUUUUUUUUUUGCUUUUAUCAAAAAUUUUAAUAAAUAUUUACUGAAACUUUAAAAUAUAUGCAGAAAUCGUGGUGACUUGUAAUUUUUGCUGAUUCUAACUACUUGGCAGCACUAAACACAGCUCGCAUAAAUUUUUCACACAUAAAACGGCGCAUUUGUUGUUGCUGUCUAUGGCAUACGCUAACCUAACGAGCGUUCUAUUGCAUUGUGGUUGUCUAAAAAUACCGCACAAACCAUGUAGAAGCCACAUUUCAUGAUAUAUUACAACAACAACAAAAACAAUAUAUUAUUUAUAUGCAUUAAAAUACAUGAAAGAAUUCAGAAAAGCCAAGAAAGAAUUAUUAUAACAUAGAAAGAUGAAAAUAUAACAACAUGAAAAUAUUUCAAUGACCUCAGCGCCAAUAUGAAAGCAUUUCUAAGCAAAAAUAUUUGUGAAAUUUGCAUUUGAAAAAUCCAAACAAGAAAAUAAUUAAAAUAAAAGCAGUAAAACAAAGCGGGCGUAAUGUGUGUGCCUGCCAAGUGUUGCUUGCCACAGAAUGGAAAUCUGAAUAGUACACACACAUACACCCACACACACGAAGCGUUAUAGUUUUGGGCCAGAAUGUCUCUAGGUCACGUCGCUAGCACACUCACGCCCCAACUGGGGACUGAGGCCUACAACAAUAGAGCACAAGCACAACUAACAAAUAGUUGCAACACACAUACAUGAAAGUGUAUGAGGAAAGCCCAAUUGUUUGCAAUAUAAAGGCGCAAGAUGGCAUAGCAAUAGCGCUUUGUGAAGAAACGCUGCUGACUGCCACCAGUUGGACGAACGGACGGCUGAACGGCUAGUUGGGUGAGUUGAUGGAUGUGUGCGGAUGGAGAUGGACGUAUGGUUGGACGUAUAGUUAGGCCGACAGGCAAUGCGGUGGGUCGCACGAGCACACAAUCAAUAGACUCAAAGCGAAAUGCAAAACCAAAAACAGAAAUAGAAAAGGGAAAUUAACAAUGCUGCGCGCUGAUGAAACGUUGGGGGUCUCUCGCUAUACAAACGCAAGUUACGUGCGAUCGCUGCCGUUACAAAUGACCGCGCGCACGUUUGAAGGUUAACUAUUAUUUGUUCAAUUAUUUAGCUCCUCAACCGCUUCAAAGUCAGUAUUUGGAAUAUUCGGUAACACUUUCAAGUACUCAGCAUUGAAUCAAUAUACUCAGUAGCCGUCAUGAAUAUAAAAUACUCAUUUUCAAUUCUAAGCGCUUAUUUAGUGUUAACACAAAACGCCUAGUAUUGGAAUAAAUACUCAUUA